rnacentral:rRNA from 1 species
AUGGCCCAGUUCUUCGGAGCCGGUGAUGCCAGGGAGCAGUGCUCAGGAGGCGUGGAGAUCAAGGACAUGGAGGCCGCGGUAUUCAAAGCAAUGCUUGGCUUCAUCUACACCGACGCUGUGCCAAAAUUCAAAAAGCGGAAGGAGGCGGUGACGGUGAUGGCCCAGCGUCUACUUGCUGCUGCUGACAGGUUUGGACUUGACAGGCUCCAGCUCAUCUGCGUUGGAAAGCUCUCUGCUGGUAGCAUCAGCAUCAACACGGUGGCGACUACUCUGGCUUUAGCUGAACAGCACAGGUGUUCUGAGCUCAAGGCAAAGUGUGUGGAGUUCAUCCUUGGUACCCCGGCAAUUCUUGAUGCUGUGUUGGCGACGGAUGGGUAUAAGCACCUAGAGUCAAGCUGCCCAUUUGUGGUGAUUGACCUUCUCAAGGCUGCUCGUGGAAGAAAGAUUUGA